GUUAAGGUGGCAGAGCCCGGUAAUUGCAAAAGACCUAAGCCCUUUCAACAGAGGUUCAAGCCCUCUCCUCAACU
rnacentral:tRNA from 2 species